rnacentral:lncRNA from 1 species
CAGCCACACGCCUAUACCCGAUUUCUGAAAAUUUUUAGUAAAAGCUUACCUUUUUGUCUUCAUCUUCUGUUCUAAUUUAACCUCAACAAAAACUCUAUAAUUACAACACCAAUAAUCAAUUAUGAGGAUUCCAUCUCCUAUCAUAUACAAAACACUCUUAUAAUAUUAUCAUUACUUGAUCAAUAUUCCAAACAAAUUCAAAAUGUUUGAAACAGAGGAUUAGAAGUUGCAAAAACAACCUUAAUACCUCCAAUGUAUCGUACGUUACCAGACUAUAUGGGACAACUUGAUAACCUCAACAUCAAACCAAGUAUAUACCUUUUAACCAUUUUCCCAUCCAUUCAGAAUAAAUCGGUAAAUAACCAAAAUAAACCAACACAUCACAUGUUUCGUAAAAACUGA